rnacentral:lncRNA from 1 species
GUUGUUUUCUCUGUAGACAAAGAUGAGCUUAUCUUGGACCACAUUUUUCUCUAUACAGUAGUCAAGUCUUAUCCAGAAUUCGAUUGAACAGAGCAGAAGCAGAGAAACCUUCUGAGAAUGAUGAGCCCAGCACCAUGCCAAAGCAGGCAGAAGGGCACCCACAACUCUCUCCAAUGGAAAAUAACUCCUGGGUGUAAAUGCUGAACAUUUGAGUCCACUGCAAGCUCAGACAACCUUUGAACCAUUGACGUAGAAGUGUGAAUUCCCCAAGAACUAAGCAAAUAGUUGCUGGGGGUACAAUGAUUAGGACACAGGCUGGAAACAUGGGAAACCCCACCCUCAGUCCCCACUCUCCAGCAGGCAAAGCAAGGACAACCUGCAGUCUUCUACAUCCCAGCAUUCACCCAAUAUUCUGCAGGUCAUUAAGACAAAGGUGUGUGAACACCACCAAGAAGCUGGGGACAAGCUGGGAGUGAGCUGCAGAUUUGAACCCUGUGUGAAUGUGUGCAUCUACACACAUUACACAGAGAAAUCUCAGAGAGUUUGGAAAGCUCAUCUUUAGCACAGACAAAGAAUUUCAGUCAAUGGUGGCAUAAAAAAUAAAACAGAUUGCAGAUUUUGAUUCA